UGGGGAAUUUUGGACAAUGGGCGAAAGCCUGAUCCAGCAAUGCCGCGUGUGUGAAGAAGGCCUUCGGGUUGUAAAGCACUUUUGUCCGGAAAGAAAUCCUUGGCUCUAAUACAGUCGGGGGAUGACGGUACCGGAAGAAUAAGCACCGGCUAACUACGUGCCAGCAGCCGCGGUAAUACGUAGGGUGCAAGCGUUAAUCGGAAUUACUGGGCGUAAAGCGUGCGCAGGCGGUUUGCUAAGACCGAUGUGAAAUCCCCGGGCUCAACCUGGGAACUGCAUUGGUGACUGGCAGGCUAGAGUAUGGCAGAGGGGGGUAGAAUUCCACGUGUAGCAGUGAAAUGCGUAGAGAUGUGGAGGAAUACCGAUGGCGAAGGCAGCCCCCUGGGCCAAUACUGACGCUCAUGCACGAAAGCGUGGGGAGCAAACAGGAUUAGAUACCCUGGUAGUCCACGCCCUAAANGAUGUCAACUAGUUGUUGGGGAUUCAUUUUCCUAGUAACGUAGCUAACGCGUGAAGUUGACCGCCUGGGGAGUACGGUCGCAAGA
rnacentral:rRNA from 1 species